UACGAAGGGGGCUAGCGUUGUUCGGAAUCACUGGGCGUAAAGCGCACGUAGGCGGGCGUGUCAGUCAGGGGUGAAAUCCCGGAGCCCAACUCCGGAACUGCCUCUGAUACAGCACGUCUUGAGUUCGAGAGAGGUGGGUGGAAUUCCUAGUGUAGAGGUGAAAUUCGUAGAUAUUAGGAAGAACACCGGUGGCGAAGGCGGCCCACUGGCUCGAUACUGACGCUGAGGUGCGAAAGCGUGGGGAGCAAACAGG
rnacentral:rRNA from 1 species